UACGUAGGGGGCAAGCGUUGUCCGGAAUUACUGGGCGUAAAGCGUGCGUAGACGGUUAUGUAAGUCGGGUGUGAAAGCCCGGGCUCAACCUGGGAAUUGCAUUCGAGACUGUGUAGCUAGGGUACGGAAGAGGGAAGCGGAAUUUCAGGUGUAGCGGUGAAAUGCGUAGAUAUCUGAAGGAACACCAGUGGCGAAAGCGGCUCCUGGUCCAGUACCGACGUCAGGCACGAAAGCGUGGGGAGCAAACAGG
rnacentral:rRNA from 1 species